AGUGUGUCCUGCCUUGUUCAUGGGAAGUAAUAUCUACCUGUGUCAUUUCCCAAAUUGGACCCUGUUUACUUUUUGUAAAGCAUAUAGAAACUGAAGGAUAAAUAUAUCCUCUUGAUGUUUGUGGUGACGGGGACCUGAUAUCCAGCAUUUAGAGGACAGAGAGGAAUUUCUUUGCUGAGGACAGAACUCAGAAGAGUAAUUAGCUCCAUCCCUACCCAUAUAUUUUCUUCUUGUCUCCUGAUCCUUUCCUACAUUUGCAAUCACAGUUCUGGAGAAUUCCCCAGUGUCCAGGACUAGCGGGUACCUCUAAAACCUGUUUCCAACCUGCUCUCUCACAGUAUGUUUUCUUCCCACAGGAGUUAAAAAAGGGCCCUAUGCUCCAGCUGCCUGUAAGUAUGAAGAACAGUGAUCCCUGAGGCUCAUGGGUUAGUGUAGUGGGAAGCGAUGUGGAGCUGAUUCAUCCAAUAAUUCCUCCAUUUGCCACAUCUCCUGUGGGGUCUGACCAGGUUCUGUUUUUGUUCUGCUCAGGUAAUGACAGUGUCCAGGGCUCUGAUGUGUCUCUUUCUG
rnacentral:lncRNA from 1 species